AUUGAACGCUAGCGGGAUGCCUUACACAUGCAAGUCGAACGGCAGCGCGGACUUCGGUCUGGCGGCGAGUGGCGAACGGGUGAGUAAUGUAUCGGAACGUGCCCAGUAGCGGGGGAUAACUACUCGAAAGAGUAGCUAAUACCGCAUACGCCCUACGGGGGAAAGGGGGGGAUCGCAAGACCUCUCACUAUUGGAGCGGCCGAUAUCGGAUUAGCUAGUUGGUGAGGUAAAGGCUCACCAAGGCGACGAUCCGUAGCUGGUUUGAGAGGACGACCAGCCACACUGGGACUGAGACACGGCCCAGACUCCUACGGGAGGCAGCAGUGGGGAAUUUUGGACAAUGGGGGCAACCCUGAUUCAGCCAUUCCGCGUGUGCGAUAAAGGCCUUCGGGUUGUAAAGCACUUUUGGCAGGAAAGAAAUCGCACGGAUUAAUACUCUGUGUGGAUGACGGUACCUGCAGAAUAAGCACCGGCUAACUACGUGCCAGCCGCCGCCGUAA
rnacentral:rRNA from 1 species